rnacentral:tRNA from 1 species
GGGCCUAUAGUUCAAUGGUAGAACGCGUCCAUGGCAUGGACGAGGCUGGGGUCCGAUUCCCCAUAGGUCCACCA